UUCACUCGUCAAAAGGCCCGCCCGACUAUUUGCAGUGGGGUGAAAUUUUCAUAAAAUUCAUAUUCAGUUCUCAUCUAGAAGUGACGACGUGCUCAACUACCAGCCAACAAACACUCCCAGUGUGCAUCUAUUCCAAUCCAACGAAAAACAAUCAAACAAUCAGUGAAAACUGCAUUCAAGAUCAAGAUCAAGACGUUCAGCAGGUGCAAUGGCAUCGAAGGUCGUUGUGUAACUUUAGCGCACGCUUGAAAGUUAAGUAAUAACAACACAAUAGAUCAUGACGAUGACGCUUGAACUUGACACGCGUGUAUCCAUCCAAAAUUCGGCCGCGUUGAUCUACAAACCGAUGUGGAAAGAGAGCCGCGACAUCGCUCUUCCGGUGCUCUAGAAAUGUAGCAAUUUGUUUAUUAGAGACGAAAUUAAACGCGCGUUGAAAUAGAUCAGCCGGACGAUCAUUAAAAAAGCGACCUCGGUAAGCGUAAUAAUAAUAAAACUGGUUAAGAGCGGCGCGCCGCGUAAGUGAUAAUGAUUUUUCGACCAGAAUCGCUUUCGGCGCUCGAAGCGUUGCCGCGAAGAAAUUCAAAAACCGCUUUAGUUUUUUAUUUUAAAUUUUAUUUCAUGAUGCGAAUAGAUCACUUUACUCUUUACGACCAGCGAGUAAAACUCAACCGCAAAGUAAGUAAAUUUCUCAUUUUGUUUAAUUUCUAUGUAUUAACUUGUUUGUGUUGAAGAUUAAGCGGUAAAAGUGAAAGAUUUACACCGUACGCGCACUUAUUUUGACAAUUUUACAUGUAAACAUUACAAACGCGUGCAUAAAUUAGCGCUAAGUACACACUUAACACAUUUACGUGCAAUUACGCGCAUGCGCGUUUUACUUGCUUUGUUUCUUUGUUUGUUUUCACUCGUGUAGUGCAGAGAUUCUUCAAUCUUCAUUAACAACGAUGUCCGGAUUGGACUUGUAUGCAUAUAUGGAUAUGGAGCGAUGGUAUUAUGACCAUUUACAUAUUUUCCACGCGAUGGAUGGCGAAUUUCAUUUAUUCAUCAACAAGUCGAUGCGCUUGGUGAAUAAAAAAUUAACGCGCCAAUUAAAUCUUAUAAACCCGUACGUGUCUUAAUCAUGCUCCGAUUCGUUCGGAGAUUUCAUGUGAUUUUUCACAAAUUAAUAAAUUAUGCUCUAAUUAAAUUUAUUGUGAGUUAAACAUUGUGAAUAUUUGUAUAAGUAAGUAGUUCAUGUGGAUUUGAUAUAGAUUUAAGAGUUUACGGUGAGUUUGAUGUAUAAUAAAACGAAUGUGUCCAUCAUUUCACCUUUGGAAUUGUGUCUCACGUAUUUGCGGUCGAUUGCAUUAGACGCUUUGGUGACUUCCGAAUCGGUUCCGCUACUCGCCAUCACGCAUUCAUUUCGCCGGUCGGCUACAUUCUAUUCUGUCAAUAAGUUGAGCGAAUUAUCGUCAGCUGAAAACGAGGUUUUCAAUUACAAUCGCUGCUUCGAGCUUCUAUUCUACAUUUCAUCUACGAGUACAUUAAAUUACAAUAUCCACAAUUUACGCCAAUAUAACCUAAUAUUCUUUGUAAAUCAUAAAAAUAAAAAUAUGAAUAAAUCGUAUUUCCUGUUUAAAA